AACCUUUACAAUGCACGCAAGUGUGAUAGGGGAAUCCUGAGUGCUUAUGCUUAGCAUAGGCUUUUGCCAAGAUUAAAACUCUUGGCGAAUAAGUGGUGGGCAAGACUGGUGCCAGCCGCCGCGGUAACACCAGCGCCACAAGUGGCAAUCGCGAUUAUUGGGCCUAAAGCGUUCGUAGCCGGUUCAGCAAACCUUUUGUGAAAUUGUCAAGCUUAACUUGACGAAUGGCAGAAGAAACUACUGAACUCGGGACCGGGAGGAGUCAGAAGUAUUCUAGGGGGACCGGUAAAAUGGGAUAAUCCCUAGAGGACUACCGAUGGCGAAGGCAUCUGACCAGAACGGAUCCGACGGUGAGGAACGAAAGCCAGGGGAGCAAACCGGAUUAGAUACGGUAAGUCUGCUAAAACAUAUUUCUAGAAUUGACUUCACAAGUUUGCAAACAAAAACUACAUUGUGAAAUUUAAGGACAGAAAAACACAUGUUGACUUACUCGCUAAUUACCCGAGUAGUCCUGGCCGUAAACGCUGCGAGCAAGGUGUUGCAUAAACUACGAGUUUGUGCAGUGUCGAAAGGAAGCUGUUAAGCUCGCCGCCUGGGAAGUACGGUCGCAAGACUGAAACUUUAAGGAAUUGACGGGGGAGCACCACAAGGGGUGCAGCGUGCGGUUUAAUCUAACUCAACGCAGAGAAUCUCACUAGGGGCGACGGCAGGAUGAAGGUCAGUCUGAAGGGCUUACCUGACGAGCCGAGAGGUAGUGCAUGGCCGUCGUCAGCUCGUGCUGUAAAGUGUCCUCUUAAGUGAGGCAACGAGCGAGACCUGUAUCUACAAUUGCUAACGACCGUUUACGGGAUCGAGCACAUUGUAGAGACUGCCCUGGAAACAGGGAGGAAGGUGCAGGCUACGGUAGGUCUGUAUGCUCCGAAUCUCCUAGGCUACACGCGCGCAACAAUGGUAGGGACAAUGGGACGCAACUCCGAAAAGGAGAAGCUAAACCUCUAAACCCUAUCUCAGUUCAGAUUGAGGGUUGUAACUCACCCUCAUGACGACGGAAUCCCUAGUAAUCAAGAUUCAUCAAACUCCGGGGGAUAUUGUCCCUG
rnacentral:rRNA from 1 species